rnacentral:rRNA from 1 species
GUGCUUGCAUCGAGAUUUACAUUUGAGUGAGUGGCGAACUGGUGAGUAACACGUGGGAAACCUGCCCAGAAGCGGGGGAUAACACCUGGAAACAGAUGCUAAUACCGCAUAACAACUUGGACCGCAGGGUCCGAGUUUGAAAGAUGGCUUCGGCUAUCACUUUUGGAUGGUCCCGCGGCGUAUUAGCUAGAUGGUGGGGUAACGGCUCACCAUGGCAAUGAUACGUAGCCAACCUGAGAGGGUAAUCGGCCACAUUGGGACUGAGACACGGCCCAAACUCCUACGGGAGGCAGCAGUAGGGAAUCUUCCACAAUGGACGAAAGUCUGAUGGAGCAACGCCGCGUGAGUGAAGAAGGGUUUCGGCUCGUAAAACUCUGUUGUUAAAGAAGAACAUAUCUGAGAGUAACUGUUCAGGUAUUGACGGUAUUUAACCAGAAAGCCACGGCUAACUACGUGCCAGCAGCCGCGGUAAUACGUAGGUGGCAAGCGUUGUCCGGAUUUAUUGGGCGUAAAGCGAGCGCAGGCGGUUUUUUAAGUCUGAUGUGAAAGCCUUCGGCUCAACCGAAGAAGUGCAUCGGAAACUGGGAAACUUGAGUGCAGAAAAGGACAGUGGAACUCCAUGUGUAGCGGUGAAAUGCGUAGAUAUAUGGAAGAACACCAGUGGCGAAGGCGGCUGUCUGGUCUGUAACUGACGCUAAGGCUCGAAAGUAUGGGUAGCAAACAGGAUUAGAUACCCUGGUAGUCCAUACCGUAAACGAUGAAUGCUAAGUGUUGGAGGGUUUCCGCCCUUCAGUGCUGCAGCUAACGCAUUAAGCAUUCCGCCUGGGGAGUACGACCGCAAGGCUGAAACGGG